GACGAACGCUGGCGGCGUGCUUAACACAUGCAAGUCGAACGGAAAGGCCCCUUUGGGGGUACUCGAGUGGCGAACGGGUGAGUAACACGUGAGUAACCUGCCCUUGACUUCGGGAUAACUUCAGGAAACUGGGGCUAAUACCGGAUCGGAAUCCUUGCUGCAUGGUGGGGGUUGGAAAGCUUCGGCGGGUUUGGAUGGACUCGCGGCUUAUCAGCUUGUUGGUGGGGUAGUGGCUUACCGAGGCGUUGACGGGUAGCCGGCCUGAGAGGGCGACCGGCCACAUUGGGACUGAGAGACGGCCCAGACUCCUACGGGAGGCAGCAGUGGGGAAUAUUGCACAAUGGGCGGAAGCCUGAUGCAGAAGCGCCGCGUGCGGGAUGACGGCCUUCGGGUUGUAAACCGCUUUCAGCAGGGGCGAAGCUUGUGGUGACGGUACCUGCAGAAGAAGCACCGGCUAACUACGUG
rnacentral:rRNA from 1 species